AUUCUGCCCAAGCGGGGCAGGAUGAGAAGCUUCGAGCAAGGUUCGACUUGAGCGCCAGCGAGAGAGCGUUGCCGCAGGCAACGACCCGUAGGGCGAAGCGCGCAGCGCUGAGUAAUCCUUCCCCCACCACCA
rnacentral:sRNA from 1 species